CCCAUGUGUAAAAAUAUCUACAGGUAAAAAUUCUUUUUAACAGGAAGUUCAUCAUCAAAGGAUGUGAAAAAGCAUCUUACACUUUAGCAUGCUUAGAUGAAGCGUGAUACCAAAUUCAGAAAGGUUGAAUUGUAGUUCUUGAGAAAAGCAUACUAACAUGAAGAUCAUGAUAUAAAAUUUAAGGAAGAACUAGUUUGUAUAUCCUCAGGAAAUGUAGAGAAAAAUUUCAUAUAUGGACAUUUGUAAAAAGGCAAGAGUAUUCAUUUAACAUGAAGUUGACGAGAGAUAGAUGUGAAAAAGCUUUAUAUAAUAUAACAUGCUCACAAGAAGCAUGAUAACAUAUUUCAAGUAACUGAUUUGAAGUUACUGACAGAGUAAAUGUGCAACAAAUUUUUGAAAACAGACAGACAGAAGUAGACAACUAGACCUACGGUGAAAGGGUUAAAAAAAAAGGCCUGUGCACCUUUUUUUUUUUUAGCUAAUCAGAACCAGAGUAACAACAAUCAGUCAGUAUCUCAAAACCAACUUUCAUGUCAAUCUACCUCUUGAAGUGGAAUUAUUUCUUUAACAACAUCAAAUCUACUACAAAAAUUGUGAUUGCUUAUAGUAUGAGGAGUAAUUCUUAUUUAAAUUUGGUUUUAUAGUGGACCUGUCAACAAAGUCCAAGGAUUGGGAUACAUAUCUACUUGUCCCAUUCACUUCAGCAUAUCUGAGAAUCAAGGUGCUCAUAAUGCAUGGAACAGCAGCAGAUACCAAGAAAAGAUAAAGAGCUCAUAUGAAUAGGAUGCAAGGAAAUCUUCAGACAAUACCAAAUUCAUUAUAGUCAAAGCAUACAUGUACUUUAGAAACUAAGAUAACCAACAUGAACAAUAUACAAACAAAUAGGACAGCUUAGUAAAUUAAUUUGGUAUUGGGACAAAACUGAAAGACAUCUUCCAUAGGUAUCACCUGAUUUUGAAUUCAAACAUUUACAUGUAGAAAGAC
rnacentral:lncRNA from 1 species